AUUCAGGUGACGAGUCUCAAAUAGAACGAAACGCUCAUCCUGAAU
rnacentral:hammerhead_ribozyme from 1 species